AACCUUUGACAUGUUUGGGACCACUAUCCAUACCGUAAACAACUUGAAAUAUUCAUAUUUACUUCAAGUACGUUGGCAUGUGCGAGUCGAUUUCUUGAAGAAAUGUUGCACAUAUUCCUGAAGAUGGCCGUGGUUGCACUGCUAGCAACGGCAGUGUUUUCACGGACAAUUGAUGAUUUUAUUAUCAAUCCUGAAGAGUUUGAACGUCUUCAAAACACUGCCACCACCGGAAGUUACAUGAUUGUAGACCGAUUUUUGGCCGAUAUUAAAUGUAAACCAAAACACGUAAAAAUCGCAGGCAAAUGUAUCCGAAUAUACUGAAAAUCAGUUUAGUUGAAGGUCUACUUUAGCUUUAAUUCAAAAUGUUUUCAUAGUUUCCCAAUAAAUAGUCCGAUGGUU
rnacentral:lncRNA from 1 species